rnacentral:rRNA from 1 species
AGUGAACGCUGGCGGUAGGCCUAACACAUGCAAGUCGAACGGCAGCACAGUAAGAGCUUGCUCUUACGGGUGGCGAGUGGCGGACGGGUGAGGAAUACAUCGGAAUCUACUUUUUCGUGGGGGAUAACGUAGGGAAACUUACGCUAAUACCGCAUACGACCUACGGGUGAAAGCAGGGGAUCUUCGGACCUUGCGCGAUUGAAUGAGCCGAUGUCGGAUUAGCUAGUUGGCGGGGUAAAGGCCCACCAAGGCGACGAUCCGUAGCUGGUCUGAGAGGAUGAUCAGCCACACUGGAACUGAGACACGUUCCAGACUCCUACGGGAGGCAGCAGUGGGGAAUAUUGGACAAUGGGCGCAAGCCUGAUCCAGCCAUACCGCGUGGGUGAAGAAGGCCUUCGGGUUGUAAAGCCCUUUUGUUGGGAAAGAAAAGCAGCAGGUUAAUACCCCGCUGUUCUGACGGUACCCAAAGAAUAAGCACCGGCUAGCUUCGUG